rnacentral:rRNA from 1 species
CGAGUGAAGCGGCAAGAGCUCAAAUUUGAAAUCUAGUACCUUUCGGUGCUCGAGUUGUAAUUUGAAGAAGGCUAUCUUGGAUUUGGCCUUUAUCUAUGUUCCUUGGAACAGGACGUCACAGAGGGUGAGAAUCCCGUGCGAUGAGGUGUCCAUUUCUAUGUAAGAUGCUUUCGAAGAGUCGAGUUGUUUGGGAAUGCAGCUCUAAGUGGGUGGUAAAUUCCAUCUAAAGCUAAAUAUUGGCGAGAGACCGAUAGCGAACAAGUACAGUGAUGGAAAGAUGAAAAGAACUUUGAAAAGAGAGUGAAAAAGUACGUGAAAUUGUUGAAAGGGAAGGGUAUUAGAUCAGACUUGGUAUUUAGUUAUCAUUGCUCCUUGUGGGUGGUGCUCUAGCUUUUUACUGGGCCAACAUCAGUUUUGGUGGCAAGAUAAUGACAUUUGAAUGUGGCUCCUCGGAGUGUUAUAGCUUUUGUUGAUAUUGCCUACCGGGACUGAGGUCUGCGGCUUUGCCUAGG